CACCUGUGGAAACAGUCACCGUUCUGUGCACUUUCCCAGGUUAGCUGACUCAUGUAGAAGUCCUCAGUCUGUCAGCUGAGCGAGAGAACAAGCGGAGAUGCCCCGUAGCCAUGAGGUGCACUGUCCCAAAUACUGUCUCUAAUACCAUUCUGCCAGAGGACAUGCGGGCUUCUUUGAGAAAUCUUAAUCCACAGACCAGGAACUCCACAGAAUGAGUGUGGAGCACCUUCUAGUGUCAGAGAGUGAAGAAUUUUUCAAAACAAACACAAGGACAUCAGCGUUUGCUCACACACACAAAUACACUGACAGGGUGUGUCAAGGGGCUCAUCAGCCAACUUAAAAUGGUUCCAUUGGGUAAAACUGGAAAGAUGUGAGCAAGCAAAUAUAUGUAAUAGUAUCAGGUUAUAACUCAAAGUCUAAAAUCGCUCUUCAUUGUCCAUAUUGUUCACUGCUUGAACAAAGGAAUAAAUGGAGGAAGAAGAGACACAUUCCAGCAGAGAGAUUUCAUGUAACAGGUGCAAACACUUAGCAUGAAGGGUGUCGAGCAUGAUCCCCAAUCAUGAAGUGUGGACAAAGUCACCCAAACAAGAAGAGUCUGAGAGAGUGUCACAGUGAGAGAAGCUUAAGGAAGCGUCACAAUUACAUGCCACAGAGAAUCCUGAACUGGAUCUUAGAACCAUAGGGACAUUAGGUAAAAACUAAGACAAUCUGAAUAAACCAUGGCUGUUAAUUGUUAUGGGCAUCAAUUCAUGUGAAGAAAGUUCUAAAUAAAAUCUUGUAUUUAAGAAUGUGAUCUUAUAUGGACAUGGGGUUGCUGCAGAUGUAGUCCGCUAAGGUGUUUCAAUAAAGCUCGAUUCGGCUUGAAGAAGAACUGUUCUGGGAAAAUGGCGAAUCAUGCUCGUACCUUGGAGUCCACACCGGCAGCAGAUCCAGAGCUGGCAGCAGGGGCUGCCGAGGGAGCUGACAGCCCGCCGCCUCGCCAGCCUCAGCCCCCGCAGAAUGUGCUCGCUGGCCCGCAGCUUCAAGCCCCAAGUUCCUGAGGGCUUGGCUAGGUGGAGUUUGGCGGAGCUGCGGGAGAUGUUGAAGUGCCAGGAGAGUCUUUCGCGCAAUGAGCUCCCUGUCCCGGCCUGUGCUGACCCAGCUGUGCUCCCCUCUGCAUGUCGGCAAACAACAGUCAGUCUCUCACGGGCACCCUGAGCAGUGGCUUCUGUGUUGGCUGCUCCUACAAUUACUGGUUCAAGCAGGAGCCAGGGAGCCCUCCCCGGUAUCUCCUGACCACUCCUCAGACUCACAUAAGCACCAGGACUCAGGGGUCCCCAGCCACUUCUCCAGAUCCCAGGAUACCUCGGUGAAUGCAGGGCUUCUGCUCAUCUCUGGGCUGCAGCCUGAGGAGAAGGUGACUGUUUCUGGGCUACAGCUCAUGGCGGGGGGAGCAGCUCCCGUUCCUCACAGGGUCUCAUAUGAGGAAGAAGUGGGUCAGAAACCUCUGGACACAAGAAUCUUGUUUCGGAGCCUCUGUCCAGGAAGACACUGUAUGGACAGACGCAGUGGGGUGGUCGCUUCUGCACGACGAUCUGUUAAUCUCAGGGAAAGAGAGACACUCCUGUAAGACCCAUAACGUGAGACGAAAUGUUGGGGCAUCGCAGGAAGACGCAGACAGAGGAGAUAUCAGAGCCCAGCUGCCCAUCACCCUCAAUCUGGAGACAAUGAACAGGAAUCACCACGGUUUCCACAGUGAAAAUACUGCCCAGCAAACACUCACCCACACAUCAGUUUUGCCCUCUUAUUCCAUGAAGGGUGACCACGUGCCACCGCUGAUGCAUCCACAGCUGAUGGAUGGACACUAACCCUGGUCACAGACACUCUCCUCUCUCUGAACCAGCUACACACGCACUUGGACCCGAUCCCACAGAUGCUCCCUGACAACACGCCCACUCCUUCCUCCUCUUCUCCGCUCUGCUCCCCUGUCCCUCAGGCUUCAGUUUCUCCCCCUGCCUCUUCAGGUCUCCACUCCGUCUCCAUGUCAGGAUUUCAGAGAACACUGGCGAGGAUGGUGCUCGAGUUUCCCUGGAGACUAGGCCAGAGAAUGAGCUGAGCACACAGCUGCAUGCAACCCCUCACAUUCUCCUUCCUGCUCUCACCCCAGGCUCCGUGUUUUCUGUUCCCAUCACUCCCAGUCAGUCUCUUUAUAGAUUUGAGAGAGAGAGAGAGGGAGAGGGAGAGAGAGCACAGCAGGGAGAGGCAGAGGGUGAUGGAGGGAGAGUGUAAGCAGACUCUGCACUCAGUGCCCUGUGGGGGGCUAGAGCUCAGGACCCUGAGAUCAUGACCUGAGCUGAAGGCUGAUGCUUAACUGCCUGAGCCACCCAGGUGUCCCCCAGGACCCUGAGAUUAGGAGAAGAGUCAAACCAAGAGUCACCCAACCAACUGUGCCCCCAGACCUGCCCCAGUCAUUUUCUCUAAUAUGAAAAUAAAGUUCUUACAUUUCCUGAAAAUGAUGUACUCAUCUUCCUUUAGGUAUUUGCACGUGGGAUCUAUUGAUUCUUGCAAACUUCAGAAUUAACUGAUGCUCCACCCAUGGGGAGUGUUGGAGGAAUCCACAGACAAUAGAGGGCCUGCAUAUUUUAAGAUAUGUGAUUAUUUCUCUUUUGCUUCUGAUUCUCAUUCCUAAAAUUACCCUGGAUAGUAGAUGCAAAAUAAAAAUA